rnacentral:rRNA from 1 species
AUACGGAGGGUGCAAGCGUUGUUCGGAAUCACUGGGCGUAAAGGGCGCGCAGGCGGUUUGGUAAGUCAGAUGUGAAAGCCUACGGCUCAACCGUGGAAGUGCAUUUGAAACUGCCAGACUUGAGUACCAGAGGGGAAAGUGGAAUUCCCGGUGUAGAGGUGAAAUUCGUAGAUAUCGGGAGGAAUACCGGUGGCGAAGGCGACUUUCUGGCUGGAUACUGACGCUGAGGCGCGAAAGCGUGGGGAGCAAACAGGAUUAGAAACCCUAGUAGUCC